rnacentral:rRNA from 1 species
CAAUAGCGUAUAUUAUUGAUGUUGCAGUUGAAACGUUCGUAGUCGAACCUUAUCUGCUUCGGUGAUGUGCCGUCAACGAUGGUGUGUUGCCUUCGGCAGAGAAGAUGUAGGGGUUUCUGUGUUUACCACGGUUCCUUUACAAUUACUUUGAGUGAAUCGGCGUGUUCCACGCAGGCAGGUGCCUUGAACGAUUUACCAUAGCAUAACAAGAGUAUGGAUGUCGCCUUUGUUAAUUCGGCGACAUUUCGAUACAGGUAAGAACGGUUGAGGGCAUUCGUAUUCAACUGCUAGAGGUGAAAUUCUUUGAUUAGUUGAGGACGAACCACUGCGAAAGCAUCUGCCAAGGACGUUUCUUUUGA